GUAAGCUACUAAGAGCGAACGGUGGAUGCCUUGGCUAGUAGAGGCGAUGAAAGACGUGCCAGACUGCGAUAAGUCUCGGGGAGCCGUCAAGGGGCUUUGAUCCGGGAAUUUCUGAAUGGGGCAACCCAAUACAUAGCGAUAUGUGUUACCAUUAAUGGAGCCAACGCGGGGAACUGAAACAUCUAAGUACCCGCAGGAAGAGAAAUCAAUAGAGAUUACGCUAGUAGCGGCGAGCGAACGCGUAAGAGGGCAAACCACUAGUUUACUAGUGGGGUUGUAGGACCGCAACAUAGACUAGGAUCUGAUAAUAGAACAAUCUGGAAAGGUUGGGCAUAGAGGGUGAUACUCCCGUAUAUGAAAUCACAUCCUUACUUAGCGGUAUCCUGAGUAGGACGGGACACGUGAAAUCCUGUCUGAAGCCGGGUCGACCACGAUCCAACCCUAAAUACUACUACUAGACCGAUAGCGUACAAGUACCGUGAGGGAAAGGUGAAAAGAACGGCGGUGAGCCGAGUGAAAUAGAACCUGAAACCGUUUGCUUACAAUCAUUCAGAGCACUAUGUGGGUCUGUUUGAAUAUUAAAGACGGCUUGUCUUUUGGCGAUAAAUUAAUGAGUUCGAUUUUUUCUCAAUCGAUAGGCUAAAAGCCUUAUCUCAAUCGAAAAAAUCUUCACAACAUUAAUUUCUCAUCCAAAAUACCGCGCCUUUGGGCGGGUAUAUCUUGUUUUUAUAAAUUCUAUGCGGAUGAAAUUUUAAAAGUAAAGAGAGAUAGAACUUUUAAAAUCAAAAUUUCAAACCGUAGAUUAAAUUUAAAUAGAUCAAAUUUAAAAUUUAAAUCAAACAAGAUAAGGCGAUCCAAGAUUAGUAUUGAAACAGAUCCACAGUGUGAUGGACUGCCUUUUGCAUAAUGAGCCUGCGAGUUGUGGUGUCUGGCGAGGUUAAGGAAACCCGGAGCCGUAGCGAAAGCGAGUCUUAAUAGGGCGAUUAGUCAGAUGCUGCAGACCCGAAACGAUGUGAUCUAUCCAUGAGCAGGUUGAAGCCGGUGUAAGAGCCGGUGGAGGACCCAACCGACGGCCGUUGAAAAGGCUCCGGAUGACUUGUGGAUAGGGGUGAAAGGCCAAUCAAACAUCGUGAUAGCUGGUUCUCUCCGAAAUAUAUUGAGGUAUAGCGUCGUGUAGUAGUUAUAAGGGGUAGAGCACUGAAUGGGCUAGGGCAUACACCAAUGUACCAAACCCUAUCAAACUCCGAAUACUUAUAGCGUAACCACGGCAGUCAGGCGGCGAGUGAUAAAAUCCGUCGUCAAGAGGGAAACAACCCGGACUAACAGCUAAGGUCCCCAAAUCUCAUUUAAGUGGAAAACGAUGUGAAGUUACUGAAACAACCAGGAGGUUGGCUUAGAAGCAGCCAUCCUUUAAAGAUAGCGUAAUAGCUCACUGGUCUAGUGAUUUUGCGCGGAAAAUAUAACGGGGCUAAAAUGAGUACCGAAGCUUUAGACUUGCACUUAAUCAUUUAUACUAGCUCGUCUUUUGGCGAUAAAUUAAUGAGUUCGAUUUUUUCUCAAUCGAUAGGCUAAAAGCCUUAUCUCAAUCGAAAAAAUCUUCACAACAUUAAUUUCUCGUCCAAAAUACUUCGCUUUCUAUAUUCAAAUUUUAAAGAUUUCGAACUUUGUUGAUUUUAAAAUUUCUUAGAAUUUUAAAAUCCCAAUUUUGAUAUUUAAAAUUGAACAACCAAGAGGCGAAGAAAGAUAAGCACAACUUUAAGACAUCGGAUAAAUUCUUAAAUAUCUUAAGUUUUAAAUUUGAACAAAGCCGCAAGAAAAGUAUAAAUCAUUAAGUGCAAGUGGUAGGAGAGCGUUCCAAUCAGCGUCGAAGCCGUACCGGUAAGGAGCGGUGGAGCGGUUGGAAGUGAGCAUGCAGGCAUGAGUAGCGAUAAAAUACGUGAGAAUCGUAUUCGCCGUAAACCCAAGGUUUCCUACGCGAUGCUCGUCAUCGUAGGGUUAGUCGGGUCCUAAGCAAAGUCCGAAAGGGGUAUGCGAUGGAAAAUCGGUUAAUAUUCCGAUACCGAUAUCAGUGUGCGACGGAAGGACGCUUAAAGUUAGUGGAGCUAGCGGAUGGAAGUGCUAGUCUAAGGAAGUAGGUUGAGUUAUAGGCAAAUCCGUAACUCUUUAUCCGAGAUCUGAAAGGCUUCUGACGCUCUUCGGAGUAGAUGAAGAAUCCAUGAUACUAUCGAGCCGAGAAAAGUUUCUAAGUUUAGCUGAUAUCGCCCGUACCGUAAACCGACACAGGUGGGUGGGAUGAGUAUUCUAAGGCGCGUGGAAGAACUCUCUUUAAGGAACUCUGCAAAAUAGCACCGUAUCUUCGGUAUAAGGUGUGCCUAGCUUCGUUAAGAAUUUACUUCGUAAGCGAAGAAGGUUACAACAAAGAGUCCCUCCCGACUGUUUACCAUAAACACAGCACUCUGCUAACUCGUAAGAGGAUGUAUAGGGUGUGACGCCUGCCCGGUGCUCGAAGGUUAAUUGAUGAUGUUAGCUUACGCAAAGCAUCUGAUCGAAGCCCGAGUAAACGGCGGCCGUAACUAUAACGGUCCUAAGGUAGCGAAAUUCCUUGUCGGUUAAAUACCGACCUGCAUGAAUGGCGUAACGAGAUGGGAGCUGUCUCAAAGAGGGAUCCAGUGAAAUUGUAGUGGAGGUGAAAAUUCCUCCUACCCGCGGCAAGACGGAAAGACCCCGUGGACCUUUACUAUAGCUUGACACUGCUACUUGGAUAAAGAUGCGCAGGAUAGGUGGGAGGCUUUGAGUCGUAGAUCUCGGUUUACGAUGAGCCAUUGUUGAGAUACCACUCUUCUUUAUUCGGGUAGCUAACUAGCCUAAGUUAUCCUUAGGUAGGACAAUGUCUGGUGGGUAGUUUGACUGGGGCGGUCGCCUCCCAAAAUGUAACGGAGGCUUACAAAGGUUGGCUCAAAGCGGUUGGAAAUCGCUUGCAGAGUAUAAAGGCAAAAGCCAGCUUAACUGCGAGACAUACACGUCGAGCAGAGACGAAAGUCGGUCUUAGUGAUCCGGUGGUUCUGUGUGGAAGGGCCAUCGCUCAAAGGAUAAAAGGUACCCCGGGGAUAACAGGCUGAUCUCCCCCAAGAGCUCACAUCGACGGGGAGGUUUGGCACCUCGAUGUCGGCUCAUCGCAUCCUGGGGCUGGAGCAGGUCCCAAGGGUAUGGCUGUUCGCCAUUUAAAGCGGUACGCGAGCUGGGUUCAGAACGUCGUGAGACAGUUCGGUCCCUAUCUGCCGUGGGCGUAAGAAGAUUGAGGAGAGUUGACCCUAGUACGAGAGGACCGGGUUGAACCGACCACUGGUGUACCGGUUGUUCUGCCAAGAGCACCGCCGGGUAGCUAAGUCGGGAUGCGAUAAGAGCUGAAAGCAUCUAAGCUCGAAGCCGACUCCAAGAUGAAUCUUCUUUUAAGAGCUCUAGUAGACUACUAGUUUGAUAGGCCGGAUGUGUAAUGGAUGAAAGUCCUUUAGCUGACCGGUACUAAUAGCUCGUUUGCUUAUCUUU
rnacentral:rRNA from 1 species